CUCUCAGCGUGCUACUGGGGUCCCAGCUCAGCGGAACUGCCCAAAAUGGAACUAUUCUUGACAAAAUCUUCCUAGGAAAGAGGGAAGGUUGGAAGCGCUGACGUCCUCGCCUUACUGGUUGUUGGAACAGGAACGAACAAAGCAGCUCAGCAAAGAAUAAUGCAAGCUGAAGUACAUAACUUAAAGUUGCAUGGGUACAUGAUGGACACACGGAGAAAGGCGGUAUUCAGUGGACAAUAUGCUUAUUGUUAUCUACGGGCACCAAGUGCACAGGAGAUCUCUAGGAUAUGGUCAUCUUGCAUAUCCACGGCUGACAGAAAAUGCAUGUUCCAAAAUUCCUUUAUGAAAUGCCUAUUAUUAGGUCUUUGGACUGCUGGGACUCAUAAUCUUUAUCGGCUGUAGCCACUACCCCUGCUGAUCGGUGGUUGCUGUUUGCUGGUUGGUUGCCGGAUCCUCCUGUAGCUGCCUCCCAGAGUACUGUGCUGAUGGCCAAGAUGGGUCUACACAGUGGGUCACCAAGAGGGCCCGAGUGGUGCCCUGCGCAGCAUCAUGGCUAAGGGUGGCCGGUGGACGCCGCGCACCGUGCUGCAGUUCAGCAAAGAAGAUAGUUUCCAAAUCAAGCACCCGAAGUAACCCAUCUCCUUGCGGGUAAAUGCCCAGCCAAACAGGAUUGGUCCAAAGCAUGAUUGCUGAGACCCAAAGCUUGCCACUUGCCACAAUUCUAAGGCUGGUGGGGACCCGUAGAAAAGGAGCAGAAGGGGUGAGACAAGUCUGGAAGAAAAGAACAAAAUCAAAAUCAAGAUAAGGGCUGCCAUUGUCAUGGCAGCCCAUGGGUCUCUCAUCUAAGUCUCUUUCAAGUCUCCUUCCAUUUCCCCAAAGUCCCUGGCACCAGUCUAAGUUCAGAAGCAAAUGCAGCUUUUUCACGUCACUGCUCCAUGUGUUUCCUCCAGUCUUCAUUCUUUAUCUCACUCCGCGUCCCUUAUUGCUUCCCCAGUCUUUUCUAGCUUUUCCUCUCUGCUCAGCUCCACCCUUCCUUGGGUGGAGCAAGGAACCUGGAACCUCCCCUUUCCCUGGGGAUUAUUACCCUGUUACGCCACCACAGAAAAUUGUUUUUUGAAAAAAAAAAAAGGAAAAGUUCAGUAAAAUGGAGUUUCAACGCAAGAUGGAGUUGUUUAGUCGGCCUGGAAUGUCUCUUUUCGGAGGUUGGUGUGCUCAGAAAUCACGUGGAGGGUGGAAAGGCUGGGGAUCCUGAUCGUCUGAUCUCCCAGAGGGAUCAGAAAUGGAAGGGCAGCUUCUGGUGAGACAAUCAGGUUGUCUCCAUUAGUAGGUUUUACAAGAAAGUACACAGAUGAGCCUAGAGAAAGUAUAAGCACCUGAAGAAGUAUAGUGUCGGGAAGAAACUGGAACAGGGUGGUUCCCAGGAAAGGGGAGGGUCCAGGUUCCCAGCCCUACCCAGGGAAGGGUGGAGCUGAACUGGGAGGAGGCUGAGCUGGAGAGGAAACUGGAGAGGAAGGAAGGAAGCAGGAUGGAGAGCUAGGAGACCUGGAGGAGGCACAUGGAGCCUAGAGACGCUUGAAGAAGCCGCACUUGCCUCUUGGUCCUGGACUGGUUGAAACAUGUGGUGAGAGACCCGUGGGGAGGCUAACAAUGGCAGCUUUUAUCUUGAUUUUGAUUUUGCUCUUUUCCUCCCAGACUUGUCUGGCUGUUUCUGCCUGUUUCCGAUGGGUCCCCGCAACGAGCCUUAGACUUGUGGCAGGCUUUUGGGCUUCAGUAGUCCUGCUUUGGGCCAACCCUGUUCGAGCAUUUAUUCACAAAGGGAUGAGUAACAUUGGGUGCUUGAUUUGGAAACCAUAUUCUUUCCUUCUCUGGGUUGCACACUAACUGUAUUAAAGCUCCUUUCCA